rnacentral:rRNA from 1 species
AUGGAGGACGGUGUGUCAACUUAUACUGUCGAUGAGGCGCUUGUGUCCAUGGGGUUUGGAAAGUUCCAAGCGUUCGUGCUUGCCUAUUCCGGGAUGGCCAAGAUCUCAGAGGCGAUGGAAAUGAUGCUUCUGUCGUUUGUUGGGCAGUCGGUUCACGCUGAAUGGGGGCUUUCUGCACAGGAAGAGAGUUUCAUCACAAGUGUUGUAUUUUUAGGGAUGCUUGUGGGAGCAUACUGCUGGGGCUUAGUUUCGGACAACUAUGGGAGAAGGGUUGGGUUCAACUUCACAGCCCUUGUAACCGGUGGGGCUGGUCUUCUCAGUGCCUUCGCGCCAAACUAUUCAUCUUUGAUUGUACUAAGAUUUUUUGUUGGUGUUGGACUGGGUGGUGGACCAGUUCUAUCUUCUUGGUUUCUAGAGUUUGUCCCUGCUCCUAACCGAGGAACUUGGAUGGUUAUCUUCUCAGCAUUUUGGACCAUUGGCACAAUACUGGAAGCUUCGCUUGCUUGGGCUGUGAUGCCAGCUUUUGGCUGGAGGUGGCUGCUAGCGCUCUCAUCAUUGCCAUCAUUUGCCCUACUACUCUUCUACCCAUUGACACUCGAGUCACCAAGAUACCUAUGCAUGAAGGGCAGAAUAGCUGAUGCAGUGCAUGUUAUGGAAACAAUGGCACGAGUAAACCGUGUAGCUCUCCCUUCUGGACGACUUAGUGCUGGCCAUCGAGUGGAGCUCCACGAGAUGGCAGAUUCCGCAGAAUCUGCGCAGUUGGUUUCAGCUAGGAAAAGCAACCCUGUCGAUCACGCCAGCAAACCUGGGAUUGGGGGCCUGAAUGCCAUCUUAAGGCUUUUGUCCCCAAAUCUAAUUAGAUCGACUCUUCUUCUUUGGACUGUCUUUCUCGGUCUCGCCUUCUUGUACUACGGUCUUGUUCUGCUAACCUCGGAGCUGAGUCAUGGAAAUAGGAUCUGUGGCUCAGAAGGAGCAGUAACAGCUGAAACAACCCACUCAACUGAUGUUAAUCUCUACAGGAAUGUAUUCAUCACUAGCUUUGGAGAGGUUCCCGGCCUUAUUCUGUCGGCCGCCAUCGUGGACAAGUUCGGACGCAAGCUCUCAAUGUCCUCGAUGCUUUACGUCAGUUGCCUGUGCAUAGCUCCUCUCAUGUUCGCUCAGACGGAAUCCCUGACGACCAUCUUCCUGUUUGGAGCGCGCAUCUGCAUCUCCGCCAGCUUCAUCGUGCUGCACAUCUACGCCCCCGAGGUUUGUUCAUGCCAUGAUAUACCCGACAGCCGUGAGGGCGACGGGCGUGGGGUUCGCGAGUUCCAUCGCCCGCUUCGGGGGGAUCCUGUGCCCGCUCGUGGCCGUCGGGCUGGUGCACGCAUGCCACCAGACCGCGGCCAUCGCGGUGUUCAUCACGGUGAUGCUCGUGUCGGCCGUGGCCGUGUCCUACUUCCCCCUGGAGACGAGCGGGCGGAAGCUGAGCGACCACAUCGCGGCGUAGAGCGCGGCCACCUGACAAUGACAUUGCCGCAGCUGCUAUUGCCGCUGUCGGCAUUAGACUCCUGA